AGGUGAGUAGCUCAACUGGUAGAGCACCGGUCUCCAAAACCGGGGGUUGUGGGUUCGAUUCCUGUCUCACCUG
rnacentral:tRNA from 1 species